rnacentral:lncRNA from 1 species
CAAAUUUACUGUGGAAUUUCCUGACGAUACUAGACAAAGAGUUUAUUGGCUGAUUUCUAAAAUGGGGCUAAUUGUAGUCAUCUGCAUGCACAGGUGUUUAUGGAGAUUAUUCCGCUAGUAUUUAGAUUUCACUUUGAAGUGAAUAACUUUAGGUGUCCUGGCUAUGGGGUGGAGAGCUCUAUGAAUCUUUAAGGACUGGCUUGUAAACAUGUAAUCAGAGGAUCUGGUGUUGCCUGAGAAUCCAGAGCAGGUUUUAAAUAGCUCACAGAGCACUAGGCUGGUCUUUCCAAGUCCAAGUUAUCAAAAAUAGUUUCCCAGUUUGUGCGUGUGACCUUUCCUGGCUGCAGACACUGAGCCAUAAAGGCUAUUUUGCCUUUGCCUGUCACCAGAAGCAAAAGCAAACUGCUGACUUUUUCAAAUAUGAAUG